AAUCGUGAAAACACCAAAAGCGCGGGAAACCAAUAAGUGGCCAAUGAUUUUUAUUUUCUUCCCUCCGACCGAAAGGAAUCAAAAAUAUCAAAUCAUCUCGCGUUUUUUUCUUAUGACGAGAAAUUGGAAUGGCCCGGAGGGCAUGACUGCAAUUAAAUAACAAAGGCGAGGGCAGUUAGUGUGAUAGAAAGCUCCAAGGAUUCCAUCUCCUGAGAAUUGAAAAGCUACAAAAUUCUAAAGAAAGGGAACUAUUAUAAACCAAAUCGCUUUCUCUGUUUAUUCUUUAUUAUAAUGUACUGCGCGUUUCAUUUCUCAAAAGGAAUUCGAAACACACAACACUUUCUCUCUCUCUGAGUUUCAUUCUUUUCUUCUCCUCUGCUUUUAAGAUUCUUCUUCUUAAUCAAGCUUCGAGAAGAAAGAAACUAUUUGUUUCUGCAGAAACUUAGCAAAGCUUCCGAAGCACGAUUGAGAAAGGAAAGUGAAGAGAAAGUCUCAGGGGAGUGGGUUUGGGCCCAUUAUAGCUGUAGAUUUAACGGCUAUGGCUUUGUUGGAGUGGGUCAUGAAUCAGAGCAUUUAUUGAAACUUAAUGCACAGUAGGUGAAAAAGGAAGAAAUGUUAGGUAUUGAGCAAUGGAGAUCAUAGGAUGCAAUGUACACUUAUCGGUGUGAAUAUGUAGCAAUCUUGAAAAAAAAAGGAAAACAAAUGUACCCAUGUCGUGGAUUCUUGUUGCUGUUCGUUCUUGGUUGUUUAGAUUUCAGUUGGAAUUUGUAUGAUGGAUAGUUGGGUCGGAUUAGUGCAAUACAUUGGAUUUGGUAAUUUAAAUCCUGUUUCAAAUGGGUCCAAAAUUUGCAAAUGAAACUUGGCAUACUUUAUAAAUUCUAGUGCCGAAUAUAUAUCUUGAGAAGAACUGUUUCUUAAGGAGGACAUCCUGUACAGAACAACAUGAUGGAAUGCCUGACGACCACUUUCAUUUCCAAUUUAAAACAAAUUGAUUUUUAGAAGUGAUCCACCACUGCCGUUUAAGUACGUAUGCAACAUAUUUCUCAUAUUCAUUAGGAGUUUGUAGCAUUUUGAGUGUUUUCUCUAGCAAUGAAGAUGCGCCUCCGUCCAAACAAUACCAUUGUUAAUAGAUAAUUUGCUUCUGACAAGGCCAUCAGUUUGCUAGUUGUUAUGAUACCAGAAUUCUUUGGUUAAACUAUUUUAAUUAAGUAUUUAAUUGGAUAUUCAAUGGUUUAAGGUCCUCAGGAGAUUACAUACUUUUGCAAUCAAUCAGUCUGUGUUAGGAGUAUGUUAUAGAGUUUCUGGCUGACAUGGUUUGAAACUAAU